ACGGGUGAGUAACGCGUGGGAACGUGCCCCUUGGUACGGAAUAGCCCCGGGAAACUGGGAGUAAUACCGUAUGAGCUCUACGGAGGAAAGAUUUAUCGCCAAGGGAUCGGCCCGCGUUGGAUUAGGUAGUUGGUGGGGUGAUGGCCUACCAAGCCGACGAUCCAUAGCUGGUUUGAGAGGAUGAUCAGCCACACUGGGACUGAGACACGGCCCAGACUCCUACGGGAGGCAGCAGUGGAGAAUCUUAGACAAUGGGCGCAAGCCUGAUCUAGCCAUGCCGCGUGAGCGAUGAAGGCCUUAGGGUUGUAAAGCUCUUUCAGCGAGGAAGAUAAUGACUGUACUCGCAGAAGAAGCCCCGGCUAACUCCGUGCCAGCAGCCGCGGUAAUACGGAGGGGGCUAGCGUUGUUCGGAAUUACUGGGCGUAAAGCGCACGUAGGCGGACUGGAAAGUCAGGGGUGAAAUCCCGGGGCUCAACCCCGGAACUGCCUUUGAAACUCCCAGUCUUGAGGUCGAGAGAGGUGAGUGGAAUUCCGAGUGUAGAGGUGAAAUUCGUAGA
rnacentral:rRNA from 1 species